GAUGGAACGUAGUGAAAUGCGAUAAGUAAUGUGAAUUGCAGAAUUCAGUGAAUCAUCGAAUCUUUGAACGCACAUUGCGCCCCCUGGUAUUCCGGGGGGCAUGCCUGUUCGAGCGUCAUUACAACCCUCAAGCUCUGCUUGGUGUUGGGCCCCGCCGCCCCGGCGGGCCCUAAAAUCAGUGGCGGUGCCGUCCGGCUCCGAGCGUAGUAAUUCUUCUCGCUCUGGAGGUCCGGGUGUGUGCUCGCCAGCAACCCCCAAUUUUUUUCAGGUUGACCUCGGAUCAGGUAGGGAUACCCGCUGAACUUAAGCAUAUCAAUAAGCGGAGGA
rnacentral:misc_RNA from 1 species